UACAGAGGGGGCAAGCGUUAUUCGGAAUUAUUGGGCGUAAAGGGCGCGUAGGCGGCUUGGCAAGUGGAAGGUGAAAUCCCUCUGCUUAACCGAGGAACUGCCCUCCAAACUGCUUUGCUUGAGGCCGGGAGAGGCGAGUGGAAUUCCCAGUGUAGCGGUGAAAUGCGUAGAUAUUGGGAGGAACACCAGUGGCGAAGGCGGCUCGCUGGACCGGUUCUGACGCUGAUGCGCGAAAGCGUGGGGAGCAAACGGG
rnacentral:rRNA from 1 species